AGUGAACGCUGGCGGUAGGCCUAACACAUGCAAGUCGAACGGCAGCACAGUAAGAGCUUGCUCUUACGGGUGGCGAGUGGCGGACGGGUGAGGAAUACAUCGGAAUCUACUUUUUCGUGGGGGAUAACGUAGGGAAACUUACGCUAAUACCGCAUACGACCUACGGGUGAAAGCAGGGGAUCUUCGGACCUUGCGCGAUUGAAUGAGCCGAUGUCGGAUUAGCUAGUUGGCGGGGUAAAGGCCCACCAAGGCGACGAUCCGUAGCUGGUCUGAGAGGAUGAUCAGCCACAAUAGAACUGAGGCACGGUCCCGACUCCUACGGGGGGAAGCAGUGGGGAAUAUUGGACAAUGGGGGCAAGCCUGAUCCAGCCAUACCGCGUCGGUGAAGAAGGCCUUCGGGUUGUAAAGCCCUUUUGUUGGGAAAGAAAAGCAGCAGGUUAAUACCCCGCUGUUCUGACGGUACCCGAAGAAUAAGCACCGGCUAACUUCGUG
rnacentral:rRNA from 1 species